rnacentral:misc_RNA from 1 species
AACGCACAUUGCGCCCCCUGGUAUUCCGGGGGGCAUGCCUGUCCGAGCGUCAUUGCUGCCCUCAAGCACGGCUUGUGUGUUGGGCCCCCGUCCCCCGGGAGAGGGGGACGGGCCCGAAAGGCAGCGGCGGCACCGCGUCCGGUCCUCGAGCGUAUGGGGCUUUGUCACCUGCUCUGUAGGCCCGGCCGGCGCCAGCCGACACCCAACUUUAUUUUUCUAAGGUUGACCUCGGAUCAGGUAGGGAUACCCGCUGAACUUAA